UUUCCUGAAGGGACCAGUGUGAAGGUAGCGAACAAAGCUUAAUGUUUUAUUGAUUACCAAGCUAUUUGCACUUGUACUCUACUGUGGUGCACAGGCAGCUGUGACUAUUGAGGGAUCUGAAGUCCACCUUAAUAUGCAAGAUGAAGCUCUUUCUGGUGAUGAUUUUCUUCUUGAUCAAUUCCUCUGUGGCGAAUUGUGACUCUAGUGGCAGUGAUUCCGGCAGUAGCAGCGAGUCUGAUGAGAGGGUGCAGCCCCAGUCGCUUCCUCCCUCUAUUAUUGCCGCUCUCUUGGAACUGUUUCCUGGUCUGUUUACUACUACAACCACCACUACAACCCAAACUACAACCACACCAAUCC